AUUAACGCUAGCGGCAGGCAUAAUACAUGCAAGUUGAACGGCAGCACAGGUAGCAAUACUGGGUGGCGAGUGGCGCACGGGUGCGUAACACGUAUGCAACCUACCCUAUACAGGCGAAUAACCUUUAGAAAUGAGGGCUAAUACGCCGUAGUAUUACAGAUGGGCAUCUAUUUGUAAUUAAAGAUUUUAUCGGUAUAGGAUGGGCAUGCGUCCCAUUAGUUAGUUGGUAAGGUAACGGCUUACCAAGACGAUGAUGGGUAGGGG
rnacentral:rRNA from 1 species